rnacentral:rRNA from 1 species
UUUCGCAAUGCCCGAAAGGGUGACGAAGCGACGCCGCGUGGGUGAGGAAGGCCUUCGGGUUGUAAAGCCCUGUCAGGAGUUAAGAAAUGUAAGUGCGCUAAUACCGCAUUUAUUUGACGAAGGCUCCAAGGAAGUCACGGCUAACUCUGUGCCAGCAGCCGCGGUAAUACAGAGGUGGCAAGCGUUGUUCGGAAUUAUUGGGCGUAAAGAGCACGUAGGUGGGUUUGUAAGUCAGAUGUGAAAGCCUCCUGUUCAACGGGAGAAUUGCAUCUGAAACUACAGAUCUUGAGUGUAGGAGGGGAGAAUGGAACUUCUGGUGGAGCGGUGAAAUGCGUAGAUAUCAGAAGGAACGCCGGCGGCGAAAGCGAUUCUCUGGCCUAUUACUGACACUCAGUGUGCGAAAGCUAGGGUAGCAAACGGGAUUAGAUACCCCGGUAGUCCUAGCCGUAAACGAUGGGCACUAAGUAGAGGGGUUUUA